rnacentral:snoRNA from 1 species
UGAUAGUAAUGAGGUUAAUUUUUGAGCAUGCCUUUAAAUCUCUCCUAAGCUUAGUAGAGAUUUUCUCCAUCUUUCUGUCUAAAACUCAAGAUCUCACUACUCAAAUG